rnacentral:lncRNA from 1 species
CCUGGAAUCCCAUCAGAUAGUUACCUUCCUCCCCCUACUAAUCAAAGCCAAAACCAAGGUGUAACGGAUUACCAGAGCUUGCAGAACUUUCUUGACAACGAAGAGGCAGAAACUACUGGUAAUGGCAAUGACCCAAAACCGGAGGAGGUUGAACAACUAUGUCAAUGGCUUGCAAAGGUUUUGGCUGGGGAUGAGGAGUGAUGCUGGUAACUGAAAUUCUCUUCAGUACACUGCAAACUCUUUUAUUUGAUCAACUAAUCGAAUGAUGUCUAUACAGUAAACUGUACUAAAAUUUUCAUAUGCAGUAGUAAUAUGUUUUUUCCUAACACUUUACAAGUACUUUUGUUUUGCUG